rnacentral:lncRNA from 1 species
ACCGAGGAAGCCAGGAAAAGGAGGGGACCCCUAGGAACUGCUUUUAUUUUUAUGAUCUUAUAUUUUGUUUUGCUUUUAUAGCGCUAUCGUUUAGAUACAGUAAAAUGCACACAAUCUGAGUGUGCAAUUCGAUGAGUUUUGUAAAGUGUACACCGGUGUACCCAGCUCUCCCACGUCGGCUGGGUGCCAGGGUAAGUCGAUGUUUAGCUUUAUGGGAAACCGCCACCUGUUUUCCAAAAUGAUUGAUUAUAUCCAGUUUACAUUCCCACCUGCAGUAGGAGAGCUCCAGUAGAUAGACACAUUGGUCAGCCUUUCUUUUUUUUUUUUUUUUUAACUUCCAUCUUGGUCGGUGUGAAAUGGUAUAUUAUUGUGGUUUUAAUUUUAAUUUCCCAUAUAAUUAAUGGUGGGCACAUUUGCAUGUGCUCACUGGGUCAUUCAUAUUCUUUUGUGAAGCAUCUGCUCCAAUCUUUUCCCUGACUUUGGAGUUUUUUGUUUUAUGGACUGACAGGAGUUUAUUAUGGAUACAAAAUUGUUAAAUAUAUGUAUUCGAAGUAUCUUCUUCCAGUCUGUGGCUUACCAUUUCAUUUUCUUAAAGGUGUCUUUUGAGGAGCAGACACUUAUAUUGAUGCAAUUUUUCAGGUUUUUCUUCUGUUGUUUUUUGUGUCCUCUUUAAUAAAUCUUUGCCUACCCCAAGGUCAUGAAAAUAUUGUUUCCUUUUAGAUUAUUUAUAUUUUUAGCCUUUACUUCUGGGUCUAUUACUAUCUCAAAAUAAUUUUGUUGUGGUGUGAGAUGGGGGGUCCAGGUUCACUUUUUCCAUAUUUCUAAUUGUUUCAGCACCAUUUGUUGAAAACUUUUCCUUUCGCCAUUGGAUAGCCUUGGGACCUUUGUAAAAAAAACCAAGUCCAUUGAAUGUAUGUGGGUCUAUUUCUGACUCUUGUUAUAUUCUACUACUACUUAUGACAAUACCAGUGUCUCUUGGUUACUUUAGAUAUCAACUAAGUCUCAAACUUAGGUACUACUAAGUUCUCCAAAUUUGUUUUUUCAAUGUGAAGAUAUUAGCUAUUUGAGAUUCUUUGCAUUCCUUUUUAUUUAUUUUUUUAAAUUUCUUCUUUGAGACAAGGUCUCACUCUCCUGGGCGAGAGAGUGAGACUCCAUCUCACGAAAAAAAAAAAAAAGAAAUACAAGUGAUUUUUGUUUUUUGACCUUAAAACAGGCAACAUAGCUAACUUCACUUAUUUGUUCUAGUAAUUGUUCUGUAAAUUCCUUUAAAUUUUCUAGAUAAAUAAUGAUGUCAUUUGUGAAUACAUAAUUUAACUUCUUCCUUUCCAAUCUUUAUGCCUUUUAUUUCCUUUCAUUACAGUUUUUUCUUUUUGAGACAGGGUCUCACUUUGUCAACCAGGCUGCUGUAGCCUCCACCUCCCAGGCUCAAGGAUCCUCCCACCGUAGCCUCCUGAGUAGCUAGGACCACAGGUGCACACCACUACACCCAGCUAAUUUUUGUAUUUUUUUGUAGAGAUGGAGUUUCGCCCUGAUGCCCAGGCUGGUCUCAACAUGCUGAACUCAAGCGAUCCGUCCAUCUCAGCCUCUCAAAGUGCUGGGAUUACAGACAUGAGCCACCACGCCUAGCCAGUUUUACUUCUUUCUUUCCAGUCUUCAUGCUUUUUGCUUCCUUUCUUUAUUACGGUAACUUCUAGAGUCUCCUAUAGAAAGUAAAAUAAAAGUGGUGACUGUUGACACCAUUACUUUAUUGCUAAUUUCAGUGGGGAAAUAACAAUGUAGUAAUAAUAACUUUAAAUAAUAUGGUAGCUGUAAAUUUUUCUCAGAUACCUUUUAUCAGAUUGAUGAAGUUCUCUUUUAUUCCUGGUUUGCUGAGUUUUUAUAAUGCAUGGGUGUUGAAUUUUUCAAAUGUUUUUUCCUGCAUUUAUUGAGGUGAUCAUAUAUUCUGUUAACAUACCAAAUUUCAUUGAUCAAUUUUUGAAUGUUAACCCAACCUACCAUUCCUGGGAUAAAUCUCAUUUGGUUGUAGAUACAAAGGAUGCUAUAUCAUGACCAAAUGAGUAUUUUCAUAAAUAUUUUUGUGUCUGUGUUCAUGAGGAAUAUUAGUCAAUAAUUUUAUUUUCUUGUAAUGCCUUUAUCAGGUUUUGAUAUCAGAGUUAUGCCAGUCUCAUAAAACAAGAGUUUGCUUCAGAUUGGUAUCAUUUUUCCCUUAAAUGUUUAACAGAACCAUUUGGGCUUGACAUUUUCCUUGUUUGAAGAUUCUUUAUAAUGAAUUCAAUUUCUCAAUUAGAUACAAAGCUAUUCUGACUUUUAAUCUUUAAUCAGUUUUGAUAAAUUGUGCUUCUCAAGUGUUAAAAUAAUUGGUAAGCCAUUAGACUUAUGUAGCUCUAAUACCCUCAUGAGGAAAAUGAAACUUAAGUUUAGCCAAUCACAGUUGGCUAACUGGGAUAUUGGUUGUAUUGUCAUAAAUUUCUCAUUUGGAUAGUCCAAAUAAGGCAAACACUCAAACUUUAACCAAUGAAACAAUUUCUUUGCUCUGCAACCCCUUCUAACAGAGCCCCAAACCACUUCUGGUUUGUAACUGCUCAAUUUAUGAAGCACUGCUGGAAUACCUUAAAUUUUUUUUUGUUUGUUUGAGACAGAGUCUCACUCUGUAGCCCAAGCUGGAGUGUAUGAGCCAAGAUCGCGCCACUGCACUCCAGCAUGGUGACAGAGCGAGACUCCAUCUCAAAAAAAAAAAAAAAGAAAAAAGAAAUUCAGUCUUGCCAGGGAUUUACCAAUUGCAUCUUUUCAAACAACAAAUUUUUAAUUCAAUAAUUUUAAGAGAUAGGGUUUUGCUGUGUCAUCCAGUAAAAUGGACUCCUUUGAUGUACAUUAAUCAAAUAUAACUUUAACUUCUUUUAGCUAUAACUCUUUGUAUUCUUUUAGCUAUAGGUCUCUCUGCAUACACACAUAUACAUAUAUAUUUGUAUACACUCUAUAUAUUAUUUUAUUCGUGUGUGUGUGUAUUUAGUGGUUGCACUAGGGAUUACAAUGUGUAUCCUCAACUUAUCUCGAUCUAUUUAGAACUAAUAUUGUACCACAUUAGGUAAAAUAUAAGACCAUCACAACCAUAUAAUUCCACCCCAUCCUUUUUGCUAUCAUUGUCUGAAACUGUACUUUUAUAUAUGUUAUAAAAUACAUACUACAAUAAUACAA